CUGGUGUUUGUCAAGGAUUAAGCCUGUCAGAGACUGGUACUGGGGAGUGAUGAGCAAGAAGGAACCAUGAGCGAUCACAAAACUUAAUUAAAUGUUUGAUGAAUUUACGAUCUUGUUAAGAAGGCACAAGUAGAGGCCUUGCUUGAAUAGAUAGGGCCAGAAAAGAUAACAACUCCUGCCUUUGUUCUCGUCCUUGUAGAUAAUUUAGCUUAAACUAACCAUAUGGUUCUAUACUACUAAUGAAAACUUAGAUAAUAAGAGCACUAACAAGCACUGAUGUAUCAAAACAUGUAAAGGACCAUACUGCGCAGAAUCACCUGAGGAGGGUCAAAUAGCGGACAAGUGAGGAAGACUAUGGAAGACCACCAGAGGACUCCUGAAGACCACCAGAGACCUUCAAUGCGCCUGCGUAAAGGACAUUUACAUAUGCUAAUAGUUUCCCGGAAAACUAAUGAAUAUAGCGAUCCCCCGUGCAUCCAGCACUGCCAAUAAAGAAUACCUACUUAAUAGUUAAUCAAA